CACCGUGCUAGAAGGAAACACCGACUACCCCCAUCAAAGCAAAAUGCAAGGUACUUUUGAUAGUUCUGACACCACAGUGCCAAUGUAAUGGCAAUUUGUGAUGUACUGAUGAGACUGCAGUAUGGUUGAGUUGGUGGAGAGGGGGGCAGGAAGAAUUUCAGCCUGGAGAGAAGAAGCCCAGAGUGGGAAAAGUUCCUUGAAAUUGCCUCCUCUACAUAGGGAGUCAACAGGACAGGAAGGAAGGACAUUCAGCUCAUAACAAUGAAUGUGUGGUUGCCUCAGGAAGUGACAGGGCUCUGUUACCUUCUCCACACCUCCUAAAUAACAGGGCUUUCCCCAAAGACAUUGCUGUGAUCUCACACCCAGAAUGACAGGCCAGCAUGAAAUGGCACAAAGUCAGGACGGAAUUUGCAAUGGGGCGGAAAGACAUUCAGCUCAGCUUCCUUGGGGAUGACUCAAGGCUCCUCCUCACAUUUUAUACCCAAGCACAAAACAGGCACACCUCCUGUCAGUUCGGAAUCUACAGUGAAAUCUGUUUUCCUCUGCAAAAGAAAAAAAGAAAUGGAAAUGGAGUUUCCUGGUUGCUACUGGGGUGAAUUUUGCCAGAAGUUGGCGUGUGCAUCUGUCCUGGUUGUGAAUAAAAGAAUCUUUCCUCCUUUUAGAAGACAUCUGAAGGCAAACCUGUAUUGGGAAAAAUUUUAUUGUCUAACUUCUUCUUCUUCUUCUUCUUCUUCUUCCUAUUAUGUCACUUUGCAACAGGCUUACUAGCUGCUUUGCUUCUCAGUAUGCUCUGGUUGGCCUCUGGUUGGAAUUGUAGGUCUGUGAAAGGGAAGCCCCAAUGCCCAGGAUCAUUUGGUGGAUGUCAUGUACUUUAAAUGCUCAUUGGAUGCACUUUAAAUCAUAGGAUCAUAGAAAUGUAGAGUUGGGAGGGACCCCGAGGGUCAUCUAGUCCAACCCCCUGCAAUGCAGGAAUCUCAGCUAAAGCAUCCAUGGCAGAUGGCCAUCCAACCUCUGCUGAAAAACCUCCAAGGAAGGAGAGUCUACUGCCUCCUGAGGAAUUUCUUACCACUGUCAAACAGCUCUUCCUGACAGAAAGUUCUUCCUGAAGUUGAGUCAGAAUCUCCUUUCUUGUAGCUUGAAGCCACGGCUUCAGGUCCUAAGGGCUUCUGGAGCAGGAGAAAACAAGCUUCCUCCCUGUGACGGCCCUUGAGAUAUUGACAGGGCUGCAUGGUGUGGCUCUCAUAUCCAUGUCCUGAGGGACAGAGAGCAAAAUAUUUCUCUCUCCCCUUUCUCCACCCCAUGAAGAAUUGCAAGGGUUCAGUUCAUCUGGCUGGUAAGAAGAUGGUUGGAGUUUGGAGCCCAGCCAGGGCUGGCUGUGGGCAGGAUCCUGGCAUUGCUGGGGUUGACUAGAUGACCCUUGGCAUCCCUUCCAACUCUACUAUCAAGCAGCCAAAGGAAGGGGCGGGGGAGCAAGAUGCAGAAGCAGGGGAGGCACAAUCACACACCCCAACAGCACCCUCUGGCCUGACCCACAGUGACCCACCAUGGCCUCAUCCCAGCACACUUUGACCCCGCUGAUUUUAUUUCUCUUAAUUCAUCUGCCUGACAACCCAGCAGCCUGGCCCCUGUUUGCCAGCUGAUGUCCCAAAGUGCUGCUUUGCAAGCAAACUAGCAAUAAGUGUUCCGGACUAGUAGUGUAAGAUAAAGAACACUUAGAUGGAAUUAAGCCCUAUAGAAAUAAAUAGGACUCUUUUUCUAAGUAACUAUAUUAUAUAGACAGCUUGGAACUAUAGCUGACCACAGAAAGAGCUCAGUAUCAGUAAAUAUAAUCCAUUUGCCCCAACAGUUUCUACCAGAUUAUUGCAUAAAUAUGAAGAUAAACCCUCAGGCUCUAAUUUAUAUGAAAGCCAAUCUGUGUUCCAAAGUUCUCAUGAGAAUAAAAUUUAUCAGGGCAACAUGAUGUACAGACAGUUCCAUCUUGGUUCUGGUCUGUCACAGAAUCAACCUGUAUGUUCCGAGGCAGAACCCUCCAGUUUCUAGAAGAAUACUAAUAUAGUAAAGGGGAAAAAGGGAAGGUGGAUUAUUAAGUUAUUAGAGGGUAGUUAUUAUAUAUACACAAGCUAUUACUUCCAAUAUCUCAGGGUUAAAAUAUUUUCAUAUGGCAGUAAGCCCCAAGACCUUCUUCUGCAUAUAUUUAAAAUUGGGAAGCUCUGAUUUAUAGAAUGGGGAUGAUAAAGAUAACAUGUAACCUUAAAUAUGUAACCUUAAAUAUAUUUAUAUAUAUUUAUACAGUGGUGGUCUCCGGCUUCUUCCAAAAACACCCCCAAAUAUGGCAAAGGGGUGCAAUGCUCCUCACUGCCAGAGAGGCCGAGAUUAAAUGCUGACCACCAAUCAUGGCUCAGUCAAUAGAGCCGGACUUUUAAUCUUGGGGUCGUGGGUUUAAGCCCCACUUUGGUUGAAAUAUUCCUGCAUUGCAGGGGGCUGGAUUAUCCUUGUGGUCCCUCUGUGAUGCUAAAGGAAGAGUUAAGAGCCUAAGCCCUGCCACGAACUCCCUAGUGGCGGCGGCACCCCUUCUGCUAUGCUUUUGUUGGGACUCCUAAGUGGUGGACAUACUAUCAAAGGCUCAUUGGCAUGGAUAGCCAAGGCCAUCGCUACCAACAACGCUCUUUGGAAAACAGGACAGUGGAUGGGAAAGGCCUCCUUAGAGGGCCGUACGGUAAACUGGGUGCAGAUAGUACAGACAGUCAGAAUUGGCCCUUGGAUGCACAUCUGAUUAAACCUGUGGGGCCUGAUUCAGCCAACUGAAAGGAAAGCGGAAGGCUGCUUCUGUGGGGAAAGGGAUGGGCAGGGAGACGAAGAGCCCCACCCUCUUCUUCUUCUGCAAGGGGAAUAACUAACAAAAAGGCAGCAAAACACACAGAGUGAAUUUUUCACAGCCCCACAGUUUUUGUUGUUGUUGUUGCUGCUGUUUGAGUUUAUUUAUUGAAUUAUGUAAGCGUGCAAAAUAGGGCACGGAUGUAAGGGUUGAUGGGUCCAAGUAGGCAUGAUGGAAGCAACAGUAUUUGUUCUUUAAGCGUGUCUGCCACAUUAACAUGUGAGGAAGCCAGAAACUAGCAAACAAGCAAGAGAAUAAGAAUGCUAGCCACUAUGGUCUGCAUUGCUGACACACAUCUAAAGAAGCAGGUAAGUGUUGGCACUUUUAAGUCACUGGUUUUUAUUCACACAAUGUUCCCAGUUGCGCCUCAGCUGUGUCAUAUCUACGGGAAACUGCCAAGAAUAGACCCACAUCCCAUGUCAUUCUGGCCUCCUUCGGGAGAAAGGGUGCAAUAUAAAUUCAACAAAUAAAAUAAUUAUGGGUGUUCCAGCUUGCGAACAUUCUUUGGAAGCCGAACGUCCGACAUGGCUUCCGACUGAGUGCAGGAAGCUCCUGCAGCCAAUCGGAAGCCGCCCUUGCGCCCCCUUCUAAAGCCCACCACUCUCAACAAACUCUCAACUGCCUCCCCCCCAACAUUCAGACUCGCUCUAAUAGCCUGAAAGGACACUGCACUCUUUCUACAACUAUGGCUGAGUUUCACAAAGGUGAGAGCCUGGAAGCUACAAUGCACAGGAUCAUUUGGGGGGCAUCAUGUGCUUUAAAUGCUCAUUAGAUGCACUUUAAAUCACAGAAUUAUAGAAUUGUAGAAUUGGGAGGGACCCCGAGGGUCAUCUAGUCCAACCCCCUGCAAUGCAGGAAUCUCAGCUAAAGCAUCCAUGGCAGAUGGCCAUCCAACCUCUGCUGAAUAACCUCAUAGGAAGGAGAGUCUACCGCCUUCCGAGGAAUUUCUUCCCACUGUGAAACAGCUCUUCCUGACAGAAAGUUCUUCCUGAAGUUGAGUCGGAAUCUCCUUUUUGUAGCUUGAAGCUACGGCUUCAGGUCCUAAGAGCUUCUGGAGCAGGAGAAAACAAGCUUCCUCCCUGUGACGGCCCUUGAGAUAUGGUCAGGGCUGCAUGGUGUGGCUCCCAUAUCCAUGUCCUGAGGGACAGAGAGCAAAACGUUUCUCUCUCCCCUUUCUCCACCCAAGGCAGAAUUGCAAGGGGUCAGUGCAUCUGGCUGGUAAGAAGAUGAUUGGAGUUUGGAGCCCAGCCAGGGCUGGCUGUGGGCAGGAUCCUGGCAUUGCCGGGGGUUGGACUAGAUGACCCUUGGGAUCCCUUCCAACUCUACCAUCAAGCAGCCAAAGGAAGGGGCAGGGCAGCAAGAUGCAGAACCAGGGGAGGCACAACCACACAGGCCAACAGCACCCUCUGGCCUGACCCACGGUGGCCUCAUCCCAGCACACUUUGACCCCCCUGAUUUUAUUUUUUCUUAAUUCAGCUGCCUGACAACCCAGCAGCCUGGCCCCUGUUUGCCAGCUGAUGUCACAAAGUGCUGCUUUGCAAGCAAGCCUUAUAAUGCCCUGCAAGAGGGAUGCCUGUCAGAUGACGGUGAAAGAAAUGGAUUCUGAAGGUAGGAGGCCCAGAGGCUUCACGAGCAAAUAAAAGAAGGGGAAGCCGCCAUGUAUAAAAAUUGCAACUUGGAUGUUGUGGUAUGUUAAUUCCAUGGGGAAUCCGUUCCCCACAUGUGCCAGGAGGUCGUAGCACCAACCUGAGCGAAACGGAGCUGGGGGGGGGGGGAGCAGGCCUGUCUUGCCUCAGCCCCUCACCCCUUCCUUCCAAGCCAAGGGUCGGGCCGUCGUGUGCCCAGGCAGGAGCAGCAAGCGAGGGGGCUGUGCCCCAGAAGAAAAGCACUGGGAAGGGCCAACAGGACCCCUGUCCCCUAGGUUGGAUGCCUAUGUCAACCAAUACAAUGUCCUUCUUUCUUCACAGGGCCAUCGUUUGGGAGAGCAGCUUAAGGUCAAGAAGCAGCAGCCCAGCGGUGCCAUGGGGAAACCCAGAAUUUGAAGGUAUGCUGUGACCUUCUGUGGCAGGGUACGUUGCCCCCCAAACAUUGAGGAAGGGAGGGAACUGGGAAGGCAGACAGGAGGGGGUGAAAGAGGAAACAUUGAGGGCUGUCGAUAGCUUGGCAGGUCCUCAGCUGUGGUCCCCAGAUGAGAUUUUCUGUUGUGAAUAACUGGUUGGUACCUUCCUCUGUUUUUAUUUUCCUUCCUGUCCCCCAGCUCCUCUGACAGUAAGGCCGUUGCAGUGGCUGUGGCACCGUUGGGAAGCGUUGCAAGUCGUGGUAUGUUAAUUUCAUGGGGAAUCCAUUCCCCACAUUUGCCAAAAAGGGCUAGGCCAGGGGUGGGGAGCAGGCCCGCCUCACCCCAGCCCCAAAUAAUUGGGGAGGGCCCUGGGGACCCUGGUGCCCUAGAGUGGAUGCUUAUGCCAGGAAAAUACAAUGUCCUUCGUCUCUCCCAGGGACAUGGUUUGGGAGAGCGGCUUAAGGCUUUGGCCAAGAAGAAGCAGCCCAGCGGUGCUAUGGGGAAACCCAGAAUUUGAAGGCAUACUGUGACCUUCCAUGGCAGGGGAAGUUGCUCCCCAAACAUUGAGGAAGGGAGGGAACUGGGAAGGCAGACAGGAGGGGGUGAAAGAGAAAAUAUUGAGGGUGCUGUGCCCCAGAAGAAGAUUAUUGGGGACGUCCCACGGCACCCCUGUCGCCUAGAGAGUACAAUGUCCUUCUUCCUUCGCAGGGUUGUGGUUUGGGAAAACCUCCAGAAGCCCAGCAGCGGUGCCACGAAAUCAACCAAAACGUGGAGGUAUGCUGUGACCUUGUGUGGCAGAGGAAGUGUUUCACAGUCAUCUUGCCAGCUGGAGGAGGAAGGCCUGAUUUAGAUAUUCCUAUAGUUUUAUGUGAAGUGUUUCUCUGUGGUCCACCUGGGCGGGACACGGAGCAUGAUCCUCUCCCAUGCCAACACCAUAUCCCAAGGUUGGGCCUGGGCCGUUUUAGGAUGGCAUGACUGGCGUGCUUACACUGGGCACCACGCUGCAGAGGGUGCCAAAACAAUGCUGAAGAACAAGAGGGAGGGGUGCCAAAUUUUAGCAUUGCACAGGGCACUCUUUAAAUUUGAGAGCCCAAUGUACACCCUGGUUGGGAAUGCUUCUGUGGAGAUGAAUCCCAGAAUUCUCCCCACCCACAUCCUUCCUAGAAAAAAGCAAAAGAUAUCAAUCUUUGGUCCAGAACCUAGGUACUACACCCUCACUAAAGGAGAUUGUAUGGAUGAUUCACUAAAUGAUGACAUGUGUACCUGAGCUUAUGGCCUCAAAUUCUCUUUAUCCUAUAUGCUGCUUUAUUACAAAAAUGACGACUAGACUACUGAUCCUUAAACUGAAUAGUUAUUUGCCCAACCACCCCCUCCAGAACCCACUGCUCCCAACUGACUCUCAACUGCCUCGCAUUCAAACUCCUUUUCCAAUCCUCAUCCAAUCAUCACUCACCACCAGAAUUCCAUAGUCUCCCUUUCCCCCUCCCUCCUUAACAUUCCCAUAAUAAUUCUAAUACAAUUACCUUAAUAACCGUAUUCCAUUCAAUAUUUUAUACACGCUGCUCCCUAUAACCAUACUGUUAGAAGCACUUGAGUUCCUGGUUCCUAGGAAAUGGGGGUGAGGAAACUACAGGUUCUUCAUCCCUGUUCUAAAAAGCAGAUGUCUUCCCCCAAAUGAUCCUGGGAAUGGCAGUUUGUUAGGGGUUCUGGGGGUUGUAGGUCUGUGAGAGGGAAGCCGCAAUGGCCAGGAUCAUUCAGGGGAAAGUCAUGUGCUUUAAAGGCACAUUGGAUGCUCUUUAAAACAUAGCAUCAUAGAAUUGUAGAGUUGGAAGGGACCCUGAGGGUCAUCUAGUCCAACCCCCUGCAAUGCAGGAAUCUCAACUAGAUGAUCCAUGGCUGAUGGGCAUCCAAGCGCUGCUUAAAAACCUCCAAGGAAAGAGAGUCACUGUUUCAGGCCCUAAGGGCCUCUGGAGCAGGAAAAAACAAGCUUGCUCCAUCUUCCUUGUGAUGGCCCUUUAGACUUAUUUAAAGGGCUGCCUGGUGUGGCUCUCAUAUUAGUGUUAUGAGUGUAUAAGCAACACAUUUCUCUCUCCCCUUUCUCCACGCCAUGCAGAAUUGCAAUGGUAACCAGAAGGUUGGAGUUUGGAGCCCAGCCAGGGCUGGCUGUGGGCAGGAUCCUUGCAUUGCCGGGGGUUGGACUAGAUGACCCUUGGGAUCCCUUCCAGCCCUGCCAUGCUAUGAUUAUAUCAAGCAGCUAAAGGAACAAAAAGAUGCUUCUGAAACAUUUGGGAAUCAUAGGAACACUCUCCACACCAGUGGAUUCCAGCAAGAGCUUGUAUCUUCCUUAGGAGAGAGGCAGGCCAGAACAAGGGGCGAAAUGCUCCACUUCAGACAAGUGGAAAUGCCAGUUGAGUGCCCCAUAUUAUAGGAAUGCUUCCUUCCCAUGUCUCCCACCCUCAUGUGCCAGACUGGUGCUAGCAUGGCUGGGAGCCAGGCGCUUGCUGAUUGCUCUGUUUUCUUUGCAGGGAAGGAGCCUUUCCCCAACGUUUACUUCAUUCUGGCCAAAUCCCUGGAGAGACAUGACGACCCUCAGGUACUGGGGCAGAAGGAAGGAAGGGUCCUUCUGAAACACAUUUGGGGAGUCUGUGGCUUCCAGCAAGUGCUUUUCACAAGCAUUGCUCCCUUCAACACAGGGGAGGCUGAGCAUAGCCAUCACAGCUAGUUGCUUUUGAUAGGCCUCUCCUCCAUGCAAUUGUCUAGCCCUCUUUGAAAGCCAUCCCAUCCAAGAUGCUCUUGUGGUGCAUCUGAUUCUCCUGUGCUUCCUUGUUCCUGCAAGGAGAUGACUAUUGUGAGAUCCUUUGGUUAAUAUCUAUCUGGGCUGGAAAAUAUUAAAGAAUCAGAGUGAAGGAAGGUGAGGACAGGUGACCCCACCUAGGCCUGAAGUCACCCCCCCCCCAACCAGGCCUCAAAACUGUCCAAAAUUCAUUUCUUGUCUUCUAAAAAUCCACAGCUAAAGUUUUCCUCUGUUUUCUCACAAGAUGCAUAGCAAACCGUUACUUUUAUCAGUACAAAAAGACUUGUACUGGAAGGGGGGAAAGCUAAUGAAUAGACUCUGUCAGAGCAGGCCUGAGAAACGAAUCUUAUCUCAUUCAGUUGCAGCAUCUUGAACACUCUUGGCUUCUUACCCCCCCUUUCCUGGGAAGAGUCCAAGACAGGAGCUUUCUGUUCAUGCUCAGAGGAACUCAUGGGGCAGGACUCCUGAGGGAGAAGAAAGGGGAGGGAACUGGAAGGGGAAUAUAUAUUCUGUGCAAAUGACUGUGAACUCGUGCAUGUUUUUGUGAACUAUCACACUUGCUCCUUCUACCAGUUCAUGGAUGGUAGAAAUAAAGCUUUUUCUCCGAAACUAUUCCUUGAGUGUCUGUUGACUCCCAUUUUCCCUUUCCCAGGCGCAAUAUUUUUCCCACCCGAGGGCAAAGCCUCAUAAGGCUACAAGAGGACUGGUGAGAUUCCCUUGAAGCACAACUGAUCAAAGGCAGGCAGAUCUGUUAGCAUCUUGAUAAAGAUGCUCCAACGACAAAGGAUACUAUCAUACCCAGCAAGCAUCUCAGAAAAAGGUCCCAAGCUGAUGGAGAAGAGAGCAGGUUAAGUGGUCAGCGGGGCUCCAGGUUGCCAUUUCUGGAUCCCACCACAGCCCUUCCAAGUUGCCCAAGAAAUCAAUGUCACAACAGUUUAUUCCUCGCACCUCCUCCUCAUGAUCACCUCGUGGGGCCUUCUCAGGCAUACGCUGUGUCUGAACCAGCAGAUCCCACCCAGUCAGAAAAGGAGUGUGUGCAGUCAUACCAGAAAUAAGCAAAAUAACAAAAGUCACCCCAGAACUGGCCCUACUGAACAUAUUACAAGAUAACAAUGCCCACUCACACUAGAAAGAAAUACUGCACGCAGUAUUUCUUUUUAAAUUGGCUUCAAGUGCAUCUAAUUUAGGAAUAAAGGAUUUUAUCCUAAACUUAUCUCUUGAAGAAAGUGCAUCUAAGGCAUCAGGUGCACUUAUGUCAUUUCUUUGCCGUUCCCUCACUCUUUGUCUCCUUGUUUUGUAGUUAACAUUUGGCAAGGUGGCUUUUGCUUGUUUCUCAAGCUCAUCAAAAUAUUCCCUUUAAAAAAUCCGGAAGUGAACUGUACAAACUUGCACAAGAACUCAAAAACAGGUCUGAUUUCUGAAGGGCUUUGCUGACCUUGUGAAAACGACCUAGCACAUGGAUUUAUAUCUCUAAGAUUCUGCAGACUUUGGCUGUGAACUAGGGCCCACAAAAAAUUUCAAGUUAGGCCCUAGUUUCAAAUUGGGCCCCACUGGCUGGCCCUGAGUCUCAUAGUUGCUGGGCCUGAGUUGCCCGAAGUCUUGGGUUUGCAAUUUUGGGAGAGGGGAGACUGCUUGCUAGGGGGUGGGCAGGCUGCCGAGGCCCCAUAGAUUUAGAAGCCCUAGGCUUCAGCCUACUAGCCUAUACAAAAAUCUGACACUGCCCCCCUCUUUUCUUCCCAACCCUGUACUGCAUGUAACACCAAUGUCUCACAACAAAUGUAAGUGAAGAACCUAAAGAGACAAUGCAUGUGUUUUUGAGGGGAAAUUAUUUCAUUUUAAAAAAGAAAAGGUGUGUGGCAGACUCCAGUAUUUAAAGAGCCCCCACUCCUAUUACAUCAUUAGAACCAGAACAUAAACCUAUGAAACUAGAAAAGAGCAAAAAAAAUCAGUGUUUGAUCCAGAAUCUAGGUACUACACCCUCACUAAAGGAGACUGUAGGGAUGAUUCACUAAAGGAUUGUAGGAUGACGUGUGUACCUGAGCUUAUGGCCUCAAAUUCUUUUUAUCUCAUAUGCUGCUUUAUUACAAAAAUGGCGACUAUACUAAUAAUAAUAAUAAUAAUAAUAAUUUAUAUUUUUAUUUAUACCCUGCCCUCCCCAGCCAAGACAGGGCUCAGGGCGGCUAACGCCAGGUAUAAAAACAAUUGAUUAAAAUACAACUUAAAAACAAGAUUAAAAUACAACAUUAAGAUGCAGCCUCAUUUCAGUAGAAACGCAAAUCAAAAACUUUUUGACUACUGAUCCUUAAACUGAAUAGUUAUUUGCCCAACCACCCCCUCCAGAACCCACUGCUCUCAACUGACUCUCAACUGCCUAGCAUUCAAACUCCUUUUCAAAUUCUCAUCCAAUCAUCACUCACCACCAGAAUCCCAUACUCUCCCUUUCCCCCUCCCUCCCUCCUUGAAAUUUCCAUAUUAAUUCUAAUACAAUUACCUUAAUAACCCUAUUCCAUUCAAUAUUUUAUAUACGCUGCUCCUUAUAACCAUACUGUUAGAAGCACUUGAGUUCCUGGUUCCUAGGAAAUGGGGGUGAGGAAACUGCAGGUUCUUCAUCCCUGUUCUAAAAAGCAGAUAUCUUCCCCUAAACAAUCCCAGGAAUUGUAGUUUGUUAGGGGUUCUGGAGAUUGUAGGUCUGUGAGGGGGAAGCCACAAUGCCACGAAUCAUUUUGGGGGAAGUCAUGGGCUUCAAAGGCACAUUGGAUGCUCUUUAAAACAUAGCAUCAUAGAAUUGUAGAGUUGGAAGGGACCCCGAGGGUCAUCUAGUCCAACCCCCUGCAAUGCAAUUCCUCCCUGUGACGGCCCUUGAGAUAUGGUCAGGGCUUCAUGGUGUGGCUCUCAUAUCCAUGUCCUGAGGGACAGAGAGCAAAACAUUUCUCUCUCCCCUUUCUCCAGCCCAGGCAGAAUUGCAAGGGGUCUGUGCAUCUGGCUGGUAAGAAGAUGGUUGAGGUCUGGAGCCCAGCCAGGGUUGGCAGUGGGCAGGAUCAUGGCAUUGCCGGGAGUUGGACUAGAUGACCCUUGGGAUCCCUUCCAACUCUACCAACUCUAGUGACUGGGGGCAGCCGCCGAGACCACACAACACCGGUCUUGAAAGACCUACAUUGGCUCCCAGUAUGUUUCUGAGCACAAUGCAAAGUGUUGGUGUUGACCUUUAAAGCCCUAAACGGCCUUGGUCCAGUAUACCUGAAGGAGCAUCUCCACCCCCAUUGUUCAGCCCAGACACUGAGGUCCAGCCCCGAGGGUCUUCUGUCGGUUCCCUCACUGUGAGAAGCCAAGUUACAGGGAACCAGGCAGAGGGCCUUCUUGGUGGUGGCGCCCUCCCUGUGGAACGCCCUCCCAUCAGAUGUCAAAGAGAUAAACUACCUGACAUUUAGAAGACAUCUGAAGGCAGCCAUGUUUAGGGAAGUUUUUAAUGUGUGACAUUUUAAUGUAUUUUUAAUCUUUGUUGGAAGCUGCCCAGAGUGACUGGGGAGACACAGCCAGAUGGGCUGGAUACAGUGGUGCCUCGCAAGACGAAAUUAAUCCGUUCCGCGAGUGUCUUCGUCUAGCGGUUUUUUCCGUCUUGCGAAGCAACCCUAUUAGCGGAUUAGCGGAUUAGCGCUAUUAGCGGUUUAGCGGCUAUUAAAGGCUUAUCGGCU
rnacentral:lncRNA from 1 species